CACGUUAAAUUGUGGAUCAGCUGGUCGCAACCACUGAAGACCAUACAACACAUUUAGACGUUCCUGACCGAGCACGUGUGACGAAUGAGGGUGGGGGAUGCAGCCUCGUGGAGCAUGUUGAGCUUGGAAAGACGGCAUUAUGGUGCACUGUCAGUGUUCGAUAUAGAAAUAUUGCGAGUGAUGCCGAUGGAUGACAUUCAAGACUUUGUGUCCAAGAUUUUUAUGGAAUCUGAUGUGAAGAUACAUUAAAUCGUAUUUUAAGAGUGAAAUGUUCACGGGCUUGCAUUUGUGUUAUAAGUGUUAAAUUUAAGUAUCAGUUAUAAAUAUUUCUUUUGACCUAUUUUAUUCGAUAAUGUGUUUAUAUUACAUCGAUACUUCAACUCAACACCACAGGGGUAAAGUUAACAAGGAGUGAAGAUAACCUCUGGGAUACUGGAAUCGACCCAUUCUUCAAGUGCCUGAGCACUGCGGGUCCUAACAUUUUUCAUUGGCUGGAUCUAUAGACAUUUGGUAGGACUCCUUGGACGAGGGAUCGGCCCGUCGCAAGGCACCUACCUGUACACAGGACAGAACAACGCAGAAAAACGCGGACAAACAUCCAUGGCUUAAGUGGGAUUCGAACCCACGGUCCCAGUGACCAAGCGGCACAAGGCCCAUGCCUCAGACCGUGCGGCUACUGCGGACCCGAAGAUAACCACUCACCUCCUUAAUGUAUUGAAACUAAGAAUGUGUAGAGCUAUACAUUAUCUCAUAUAUCUGCAUGACAUGAUGCAGACUGAACAACUUUACCUUUUACAAUCAUAAAUAUACCUACAAAUUUUGGAUGAAAUUCUUUUGUGUUAACAAUUUCAAAUAUGGCAAAACUUUGAAAUUACAUUUGACAAACUUAAUGUAAUGUGAAUUUAUUAAUGUAUAGAUCCUGCUGGAACUGCAGGCAUAACAAGUACUUUAUAGAAUUUUUUGUGAGAUUGCUAUUCUUUCAGAUGAGCUCUGAUAGUUUCAUUAUCAAAAAUUUUAAACAUAAUGUAAUUAAAGAGAAAACAGUUUAAGGAAAAUACCCACUGAGAAUUACUGUUUCAUUACCACAAGAGGCACACCAGGUCUCAGGAUCUUCCCGGUGUAGCGUAGUAAAAUGGACCAGAUCAUCAAAAUCAUAUGUACUGAACCCACAAUGAGGAAUGUACCUUAAUCCAGCCUUGAAUACAUGGACACGAUUAAAGAACUAGAAAUUGCAGUGUGACUGAGAUGUCAAUAUCAAAACAACAAAUACCAGAAGAGCAAGGAACAUGAGUCAAGAAGAAGCUUAAGCGUGAUGACAAUAAACAAGACAGCGAGCAUAUACUAGCAAAGAGACAACGCCCACAGCAUGUUUGAGAACAUCACCUCAUCAAGAAUAUCCUUAUUUCUUUGUAGGAGUUCUGGCAGUUCUUGAAUCAUUCUCUCCAACUCCUGAAUGCCACCAUUAUUCCUUACAGCUGAUGCUUUUUCCACAAGUGACUGUGGCAAUGAACUUUCAGAUGUAUCUUCUAAGGCCGCAGGAAGAUUUAAUGAUGCCAAAACACUGAAAUACAAUUGAGAACAUACUAAAAUAUAACAAAAACAAGAAAACAACAAGCAACAAUAGCAGUGUUGACAUUGGUGCAACAGGGGACUAAGUAAUCAACAGACAUAAUUUAGACUGUAUAAAUUUCCUCCCAACACCCGCAAUUUUCAAGAAUUUCCUUAUGCAUUGCAGAACAAGGACAAACAGGUUCAUACUGCAUCCUGUUGUCAAGUUUGCCAUCCGUGUUUACCUAGUGUCAAGGUUAAGAGUGCACGAAGCUUUACCUCGUGCCUCCACAGUGUGUUCCACAGACACAGCAACAUUUUAACACUUUUACUUUUUAAAUUUACUCAACUCAGUACUGUGGCAGCUUUCUAACUUACCAUAUGACUUACCUGUUAAGAAGCUGUGUACUCUCCCGCAGUUUCAUAAUUUCAGAGUUCACAAUUUCAUUCUUCCUCACAUCAUAUGCAGCCAAAGCUUGAUGGACAGUGACAGGGACCAACUCAACAAACAAGUCUGCAGAGGGAUCAGUCAUAUUUUAAACAUUUAUAAUAUGUAAAGUCUUAAUAUUAAGGACACUCAGCAUCAUAACGAGUUUCCAGGGCAAAUAAAUUAGCAUAAGCAGGAUUUGAGGUUCUCACGGUGGAGACUACCAAGACGGCCGUCUUCUGGGCUGUAGCGCCUCGUGGUCUGGUAGAAGUUUACCGAUGUUUCAUACAUCCUUGCUACCUCCAUCUCUUCAUAACCAACAUAACUUUUAUAAUUUCUCAUACAUACACAAGAAGUUCUAAGAAGAAGUAACGAUACCUGAAUUUAUACACAAUAAUUAUGCAAUGUAGUAAUCCUUUCCUGUGCUCUACUAGCAGACAUUCAGAUUACAUUAAAUUUGUCAUAUAUAUAUAAAUAAAACCUCCUCAUUACCAUGUCUGUAAUUAUUAACAUAAAAAUGUUUAUGCAAACUC